ensembl:snoRNA
CGUCGUGAUGACACCGGGAACUAAUGUUAGGAAGUGCCGUCAGAGUCGACAAGUGACGAGACUUCAGGCCCGCUGACC